rnacentral:rRNA from 1 species
UACGGGGGGGGCAAGCGUUGUUCGGAAUUACUGGGCGUAAAGGGCUCGUAGGCGGUUUGUCGCGUCGGGAGUGAAAACCUUGGGCUUAACUCAGGGCUUGCUUUCGAUACGGGCAGACUAGAGGUAUGCAGGGGAGAACGGAAUUCCUGGUGUAGCGGUGAAAUGCGCAGAUAUCAGGAGGAACACCGGUGGCGAAGGCGGGUCUCUGGGCAGUAACUGACGCUGAGGAGCGAAAGCGUGGGGAGCGAACAGG